AGCAGCCGCGGUAAUUCCAGCUCCAAUAGCGUAUAUUAAAGUUGUUGCAGUUAAAAAGCUCGUAGUUGAACUUCAGGCCUGUCCAGACGGUCCGCCUUAAUUGGUGUGUACUGUCCUUGGGUGGGUCCUACCUUCUGGCGAAGCGGCAUGGCCUUAAUUGGUUGUGUCGGGGAACCAGGACUUUUACUGUGAAAAAUUAGAGUGUUCAAAGCAGGCAAAUAUGCUCGAAUACAUUAGCAUAGAAUAAUGGAAUAGGACGAUGGUUCUAUUUUGUUGGUUCUAGGACCGUUGUAAUGAUUAAUAGGGAUAGUUGGGGGCAUUAGUAUUCAAUUGUCAGAGGUGAAAUUCUUGGAUUUAUUGAAGACUAACUACUGCGAAAGCAUUUGCCAAGGAUAGUUUUCAAUUAAUACAAAGAACGUAAAGUUAAGGGGAUACGAAGACGAUCAAGAUACCGUGUAGUCUUAACCAUAAACUAUGACCGACUAGGAAUCGGGCAGUGUUGACAAAAUGACUCG
rnacentral:rRNA from 1 species